UUUUCUCUCACACGGGUACUUUGAGUAUUUUUGCAGGAAUUUUGUACAAGUUUUCACCCACCUUUUUUCUGAUAACAACUAUCCUAUUUAUAAACAAACAAAAUAACUGUCACUAACGAAUAAAUCCUAAAACUAUGACACUUGGCUCUCUGCAUAACUUCCUUUCGCCAGGCGCUUCCACGCGUCUUUUGCCAAACGUUAUAACUCUUUUGAAUUUGAAUUUCCACUUUACGUCGAAAUGACGCGUCUCUUCAAACUUGUCG
rnacentral:lncRNA from 1 species